rnacentral:misc_RNA from 1 species
CUACGCCCCACGCGUGAGGAAAAGCUUUCUCAACCAGCGGCACAGAUACGCACACAUCCGAGGAACUCUUCACAGCUUUCCGCCUUUCUCUUCUCUUGCCUUCUCUACCGGAAAGAGUCCAGCAUGGACUCCUCUGCCGGAGGCGAUGCGGGUGUGGUCCCCAGCAACAGCGUCGCGAAGGCGCCUGGAGUCGGCGCCAGCUCGAGCAGCGCCCCGACGGACCCGUUCAAGUAUCUUGCAGAGCACAUCCACAAGCGUGUUGCCAUCUCGCUCCUGCCAGUCGACGACGACGACGACGGUGCAGUGGUGCGUGGCACCUUGCUGAGCGUCGAUGACCUCUGCAACGUGAUGUUGCAGCACUGGUCAAGCACAGGCGCAACUAGGCUGGACAGCAGCACUGGAAAUGGUCGGCAGCAGCAGCAGCCCCGCAAGCGCGCUCGCCUCGACGCUGCUGGUGGUGACGAUGCGGAAGAGAGUGUGCGACUCAUCCGGGGUGCGCAGAUCGUCUCCAUCUCUCUCCUGCCGGUGUAAGACGGUGUGCGUACGAGAUCGAAAGCACGACAUGGCUGUGUGCGGCGGCAAGUCUGUCCUAUGCCUACACAUCACCUCUACACUCUACAGCUGUGUUGAUCGCUCGUGUCUCACGCUGCGAUGAGCACGGUUCCAGUGGAUGCUGCUGUUAGCGAACCUCGGCAUCGCUGUGCGCACUGCCAAGGAGCACAGGACAACGGUGGAAAAGGGGUGGCGACGAUGCUGCCCGUGUGCACGUUCGCGUGUGAAGUCGACCCAGACACAGGCACUUAUGCGCUCCUCCAUCUCUACGCACUGCGUGUGGUGGACCUCGUUGAGCGAAACUUGCAUGCACACCUCCGCAUGCGUCUCCUCCCUUGCUUUCCUCGUGAGCGCCGCGCCGCGUGAAGUGAGCGCGUUCGCGAGGUGUGGUCUUGGGCGCGUGGUAGGGUGUGAGUGUGGGUGGGCAGGAAGGAGGAGGUCAGCCCUUCCCGACACCCCCUCCCCCUCACCCCCACCCUCUCCGCGCGCAGUUGCGCGCUUGCAUGCUCGGCCACGGACGAGACACACAUUCAUUUCCGUUCACGUGCCCUUCAUUCGUUCAUCUCUCCCUCUACCUCCCUCGCACCCUCCUUUUUGUACUCGGCGUCUCGCCCAUGGCGUGACCCACCCACGCCUGCUGACGCGGAUGACGAUGGUGGUGUGGCGCUGCGGUGCCCGGGGACGACGACGAUCACCGUGCACGUGUGGUGGUGCUCGCGUGCUUUUCGAGACGCAUCAG